GCUGGGCACAGUGGUGCACGCCUAUAAUCCUAGCAGCUCAGGAGGCUGAGACAGGAGGAUCACAAGUUCAAAGCCAGCCUCAGCAAAAAGAGAGCAGCUAAACAACUCAGUGAGACCCUGUCUCUA
rnacentral:sRNA from 1 species